ACUUAGCCUUAAACUGAGUUCCCCUCCAGCCCCGAGCCAGGAGCAGCUCUCAAUACCGGGAGAGGCACAGAGCACUGGAGCUAUUUCAGCCACAUGAAAAGCAUCGGAAUUGAGAUCGCAGCUCAGAGGACACCGGGCAUCCCUUCCACCCUCCAAGGAACUUUGUCUUCUUGCACCUGGCUGCUUGGGACUUUCCUUAGGCAGUAAACAAAUACAUAAAGCAGGGAUAAGACCGUGUGAAUAUGUCGAAACAGCCAGUUUCCAAUGUCAGAGCCAUCCAGGCAAAUAUUAAUAUUCCAAUGGGAGCCUUUCGGCCAGGAGCUGGGCAACCCCCCAGAAGAAAAGAGUGUACUCCUGAAUUGGAGGAGGGUGCUCCUCCUACUUCGGAUGAGGAGAAGAAGCCAAUUCCAGGAGCGAAGAAACUUCCAGGACCUGCAGUCAACCUAUCGGAGAUCCAGAAUAUUAAAAGUGAACUGAAAUAUGUCCCCAAAGCUGAACAAUAGUUGGAAGAAAAAAGUGGUAAAAGAGCUCACUGAUAUCAAAGAAUUGGAGAGGAACAAAGUAAGUAUCAAAGUGGUAACAAUGCAGCAAUUACAAGAAAAGAAAUGAUUAACAAAGGUUUGUUGUGAAGAAUUAAAGAGGAAAAGGAUGGAUUCAAAUGAAUAUAGCUAAGAAAUUUUAUAUAUUUGUAUGACGACUAUGAACCUCCUGAAUGCCUAACACCCUAGCAGAAAUGGCCUGUUUGUACAUUUAUAUCUCUUCCUUCUAGUUGGCUGCAUUUCUCACUUUAAUUUAAUCUUCAUUUUUGGCAUUUUACAGAACAAAUCAGUCUGGGAAUUCACCACGUGGAUGGUGUGGUUUUGAGGAGGGAUAUAAUUUUCUGGAGAGGGAUGUGGCAAUGUGUGUAAGAAUGAUUUUGAUGGGAAGUUCUCUAAGCUAAUUCUCACAGCGUUUGGUCAAUAUUUGGAAUGUAUUUUAGUUCUUCACCUUUUAAAUUAUGUCAAUAAACUUUUUAUGAGUUCAAAUAAAUAUUUGAGUAAAUGUAAAAUGUGA